rnacentral:rRNA from 1 species
GCUGUUGGUGGAUGAGUGGCGAACGGGUGAGUAACACGUGAGUAACCUGCCCCUGAUUUCGGGAUAAGCCUGGGAAACUGGGUCUAAUACCGGAUACGACCUCCUGACGCAUGUUGGGUGGUGGAAAGUUUUUCGAUCGGGGAUGGGCUCGCGGCCUAUCAGCUUGUUGGUGGGGUAAUGGCCUACCAAGGCGACGACGGGUAGCCGGCCUGAGAGGGCGACCGGCCACACUGGGACUGAGACACGGCCCAGACUCCUACGGGAGGCAGCAGUGGGGAAUAUUGCACAAUGGGGGAAACCCUGAUGCAGCGACGCAGCGUGCGGGAUGACGGCCUUCGGGUUGUAAACCGCUUUCAGCAGGGAAGAAGCGAAAGUGACGGUACCUGCAGAAGAAGUACCGGCUAACUACGUGCCAGCAGCCGCGGUAAUACGUAGGGUACGAGCGUUGUCCGGAAUUAUUGGGCGUAAAGAGCUCGUAGGUGGUUGGUCACGUCUGCUGUGGAAACGCAACGCUUAACGUUGCGCGUGCAGUGGGUACGGGCUGACUAGAGUGCAGUAGGGGAGUCUGGAAUUCCUGGUGUAGCGGUGAAAUGCGCAGAUAUCAGGAGGAACACCGGUGG